GCGGCCUCGGGUCGUUGCUUUGGCCCCUCCUUUUUAAGGCCCGAAU
rnacentral:rRNA from 1 species